ACCAAUGAAUUCGUCCUGGUGUAUCUCGAUGAUAUCUUGGUUUUCUCCAAGAAUAAGAACGAUCAUGCCAAACAUUUGCGAUUGGUGCUCGACAAGCUCAGAGAGUAUCAAUUCUAUGCGAAGUUCUCCAAAUGUGAGUUUUGGCUCGAUGAAGUUCUUUACCUUGUUCAUAUCAUCUCUGUCAAGGGCAUCGCUGUUAAUCCCGAGAAGGUGUCCGCAAUUGUGAAUUGGGAACCUCCUCAGAAUGCCAAGCAGCUCCGCAGUUUUCUUGGUAUUGCAAGCUAUUGCCGAAGAUUCGUUGAGAAUUUCUCUAAGAUUGCAAAGCCUCUUUCCAACCUCCUCCAAAAGCAUGUGAAGUAUGUCUGGUCUCCUGAGUGUGACGUUGCUUUCAACACUCUCAAAUAG
rnacentral:rRNA from 1 species